rnacentral:lncRNA from 1 species
CCAUAGCACUCAAACCCUACUAGCCACAGGGAAAAGUCAAAUCUAAGACCUUACUUUGUCUGAAAAGCAGAAAGCCCCUCAGAACCCUUCUGGCCCUCUCCAAUAAUCAAGGCAAAAUGCCUUAAAGAUUAAGAAAACUCCCUAAAGAGGUCAGAAACUCAUAGAAUCGGAAGAGCAUCAAUUUAGGGUUGCAUGCACACACAAAAGCUAAAUACC